rnacentral:rRNA from 1 species
AGCGNCGGACGGGUGAGUAAUGCCUAGGAAAUUGCCCUGAUGUGGGGGAUAACCAUUGGAAACGAUGGCUAAUACCGCAUGAUGCCUACGGGCCAAAGAGGGGGACCUUCGGGCCUCUCGCGUCAGGAUAUGCCUAGGUGGGAUUAGCUAGUUGGUGAGGUAAGGGCUCACCAAGGCAACGAUCCCUAGCUGGUCUGAGAGGAUGAUCAGCCACACUGGAACUGAAACACGGUCCAGACUCCUACGGGAGGCAGCAGUGGGGAAUAUUGCACAAUGGGCGCAAGCCUGAUGCAGCCAUGCCGCGUGUAUGAAGAAGGCCUUCGGGUUGUAAAGUACUUUCAGUCGUGAGGAAGGCAUAGUCGUUAAUAGCGGCGUUGCUUGACGUUAGCGACAGAAGAAGCACCGGCUAACUCCGUGCCAGCAGCCGCGGUAAUACGGAGGGUGCGAGCGUUAAUCGGAAUUACUGGGCGUAAAGCGCAUGCAGGUGGUUUGUUAAGUCAGAUGUGAAAGCCCCGGGCUCAACCUUGGAAAUGCAUUUGAAACUGGCAGACUAGAGUACUGUAGAGGUGGGGUAGAAUUUUCAGGUGUAGCGGUGAAAUGCGUAGAGAUCUGAAGGAAUACCGGUGGCCGAAGGCGGACCCCUGGACAGAUACUGACACUCAGAUGCGAAAGCGUGGGGAGCGGACAGAUACUGACACUCAGAUGCGAAAGCGUGGGGAGCAAACAGGAUUAGAUACCCUGGUAGUCCACGCCGUAAACGAUGUCUACUUGGAGGUUUGUGGCCUUGAGCCGUGGCUUUCGGAGCUAACGCGUUAAGUAGACCGCCUGGGGAGUACGGUCGCAAGAUUAAAACUCAAAUGAAUUGACGGGGGCCCGCACAAGCGGUGGAGCAUGUGGUUUAAUUCGAUGCAACGCGAAGAACCUUACCUACUCUUGACAUCCAGAGAACUUUCCAGAGAUGGAUUGGUGCCUUCGGGAACUCUGAGACAGGUGCUGCAUGGCUGUCGUCAGCUCGUGUUGUGAAAUGUUGGGUUAAGUCCCGCAACGAGCGCAACCCUUAUCCUUGUUUGCCAGCGAGUAAUGUCGGGAACUCCAGGGAGACUGCCGGUGAUAAACCGGAGGAAGGUGGGGACGACGUCAAGUCAUCAUGGCCCUUACGAGUAGGGCUACACACGUGCUACAAUGGCGCAUACAGAGGGCGGCCAACUUGCGAAAGUGAGCGAAUCCCAAAAAGUGCGUCGUAGUCCGGAUUGGAGUCUGCAACUCGACUCCAUGAAGUCGGAAUCGCUAGUAAUCGUGGAUCAGAAUGCCACGGUGAAUACGUUCCCGGGCCUUGUACACACCGCCCGUCACACCAUGGGAGUGGGCUGCAAAAGAAG